GACGAACGCUGGCGGCGUGCUUAACACAUGCAAGUCGAACGGAAAGGCCCUGCUGUUGUGGGGUGCUCGAGUGGCGAACGGGUGAGUAACACGUGAGUAACCUGCCCUUGACUUUGGGAUAACUUCAGGAAACUGGGGCUAAUACCGGAUAGGAGCUCCUGCGGCAUGGUGGGGGUGGGAAAGUUUCGGCGGUUGGGGAGGGACUCGCGGCUUAUCAGCUUGGUGGUGGGGUAGUGGCUUACCAAGGCUUUGACGGGUAGCCGGCCUGAGAGGGUGACCGGCCACAUUGGGACUGAGAUACGGCCCAGACUCCUACGGGAGGCAGCAGUGGGGAAUAUUGCACAAUGGGCGGAAGCCUGAUGCAGCAACGCCGCGUGCGGGAUGACGGCCUUCGGGUUGUAAACCGCUUUCGCCUGUGACGAAGCGUGAGUGACGGUAAUGGGUAAAGAAGCACCGGCUAACUACGUG
rnacentral:rRNA from 1 species